CUCUGAAAAGCGGACGCGCGAGCGUCCCGCCGACGGUGCAAGCCGACCGCUGACGUCCCGGGUGCCCCCCGGGCGCAGGCGGCCGGCGAAGCUCUCAGGCUGAUGACAGAG
rnacentral:ncRNA from 2 species